GGGGAUUUAGCUCAGUGGUAGAGUGCUUGCCUAGCAAGCGAAAGGCCCUGGGUUCGGUCCCCAGCUCCG
rnacentral:tRNA from 1 species